AGCAUCACCAAAGACAACUUUUUUUACUAUCUUCACCAAUGCAUGCUCUUGUUGGCAAUCUGAAGCUUAAACAAAACAGACUGCGGCGGUGUGUGCUGCAGUGGCGCUGGUGGCGCGCCACCACAUGAGAAGCUCCGGAAAGUGGGGUCGCGUGGUGGCUAUUAUGAAAGAGUUUGAGGAGCAGUGUGGGACCUCAAUUGCGAAGCUGAGACAUGUUGCUGAUGCCAUGAACGUUGAGAUGCAUGUAGGCCUUGCUUCUGAAGGUGACAACAAGCUCGAGAUGUUGAUCACUUAUGUUGAUAAUCUCCCUUCUGGGUUUGUUCAAUCAAUCACCUUUUUCCUUAGAAUUUGCUUUUUCUGUUUUAAUUUCACUCCGCAUAACUGGUUUUCAUGUUUUUGUUAUACUACAUGAUUCCUUAGUGAGUUUCUGCUUGGUUUUUCAUAUUAUCUCUGUGAAGUAAGGCCUUGUUUGAAGAAACUUCUCCUUAAUUAAGCACUUGUGGGAGAAGAAUGACUUAAUUUUUCUGUGUUUUUUUAAUUGAUGAAAAAGAAGUAGAUGAAUACUUUUGUCAUAUGAAUUUUAGUUCUUGAAGGUUUCUUCCCUCUCCGGCUCAUUCUUUACCUUGUUCCAUUGUUUAUACUUUAGUCUGAAAAAGUUUCCAUUCCUCCUCAUUUGAUGACUGGUUCUUCACAUGUAAGUCAGUUUUGAGAAAAUCUAUUAGAGUAAUGAGUAAUGAGCCUAACUGCUCUCUUAAAUAUAUUAAUUAUGAGAUUGCAGGAAUUAGUUGAUUUUAAAGCAGCUAAGCUCGCAAAGUUCGUUAGUUCUGAGCCUGAAGAGUUACACCCUCCCCCUGGCAGACAAAGGGAACUGGGUUUUACCUUCUCGUUUCCAGUGAGGCAAACAUCAAUUGCAUCUGGAAAUCUAAUAAAGUGGACUAAGAGUUUCAAUAUUGAGGAUAUGGUUGGAGAAGAUGUGGUGGGUGAGCUAACCAAGUCCUUCGAAAAAAUUGGUCUGGAUAAGCCUGUUGCCGCUCUAGGCAGUGUCACUUCUCUUUCUUUUUAACUUAUUUUCUUUUUCCCCUGAAUAUUUAUAUAGUAGAGUUGUCAUUAAAAAUCUUUUUCCUAGGAAUACACCACACAAUCUAUUAUAAAUCUUCUGUCAAUAUCAAUUAAAAUAUUAAUUCCAAACUAUAAAAAAAAACCCUAAAAAGCACGAAAAAGAGAAAAUACAAAAUCAAUCUCUGAUAUUAAUUUUACAUCAGGACAUCAAUUGAUUUGUCAAACAAAGUCAAUUUGUAGUUAUCAUUCUAUAGGAAAAAUUAAAACGCAUAAAACAUCCCAAAAUUAACCCUAAUUUGAUCCUAUUAGGAUCGUUAUACAUAUUCACUCUAACCUCAAUUGCAAUAAACUUAUCUCUUACCUCUAAGCGGGAUAACGUGUAUAGUCUGACAGCGAUAACAACAUCUCCAGUGAUUUUCCUAAGAAUCGUCAAACUUUUCCUUUGAUUGCACUGCUAGAAUUUCCAAACAUUAGAGAGAAGAAGAAGGAACUGAAGCCUCAAUUUUAUUAUCUUUGUGUCAGGGGCUUUUCUCUCUCUACAGGCAUUCGUUUGCAAAUCUUAACAAUGAAAAUGUGCAAAAAUGAGUUCUGAAGGUGGUGUACAAAUUUCAGGAUGAUCCAAUGAUUAAUUAGUCCAUGAUCGUAGUUUUAAGGAGACAAGUUUGGAUGUAUGCAGGAAAAGAAAAGAUUUUGGAAUAAGAAGAAGGGAGAACGGAUUUGAGAGCAGAAAAAUUGGAGUAGCAAGUUUAAAUUGGAAUCGCAAAGGUUUUUAAUAGUUAAAAAGUUAGCAGAAUCAACCUUAUUGAUCUUUGCUGGACAGGACAAGGGUAAAGUUGACAACGAAGGCAACCAACGUGUAAGGGAAAAUAGGCGUGUAAGAAAUGUUUUAAGGCGACCAAUAUCUUGCCACGGAUUACGAGAUUGUAUUUGAAUGAUCUACAUGAAUCAUUCUCUUAUUAGAAUUGUAUGGAAAAACCUAAUUUUGUUGUCAACGAGAGCAAAAACCAAUUGAUGUAAUAGACCGCAACCAAAUGCCCUACGGGGAACACAAACUUUGGUAUGAUCUACACAAUGACCCUCGUCCUACGAUUAACAAGAAAUUUCGGAAGUAAAGAUGCCAAA